GACGAACGCUGGCGGCGUGCUUAACACAUGCAAGUCGAACGGAAAGGCCCCCUUGUGGGGUACUCGAGUGGCGAACGGGUGAGUAACACGUGAGUAACCUACCCUUGACUUUGGGAUAACUUCAGGAAACUGGGGCUAAUACCGGAUAGGAGCUCCUGCUGCAUGGUGGGGGUUGGAAAGUUUCGGCGGGUGGGGAUGGACGCGCGGCUUAUCAGCGUGUUGGUGGGGUAGUGGCUCACCAAGGCUUUGACGGGUAGCCGGCCUGAGAGGGUGACCGGCCACAUUGGGACUGCGGUACGGACCAGACUCCUACGGGAGGCAGCAGUGGGGAAUAUUGCACAAUGGGCGGAAGCCUGAUGCAGCAACGCCGCGUGCGGGAUGACGGCCUUCGGGUUGUAAACCGCUUUCGCCUGUGACGAAGCGUGAGUGACGGUAAUGGGUAAAGAAGCACCGGCUAACUACGUG
rnacentral:rRNA from 1 species